rnacentral:tRNA from 1 species
UCGGCCAGUCGGUGGCCCUGGCCAACACCGGCAUGUUCGCGCCGUACCAGGUCGAGACGUUCGACGACAUCCCGGCCGAA